rnacentral:lncRNA from 1 species
AGAGUGCCGGUGAUGGUGGCCAACUGCUCUCUCUGCCCCCUACUGGUUAUUCUUGAAUUAAGCACAGACUCCGUUGCUUUUAUCAUGAAUAAUGUGUGUGACCUUACAAUUCUUCCACAGUUCAGCAAACAAGUGCUAUAGUGUCACUGACCAAAAAUUAAGGAAGGAAAAUCCGAUGUUUUAAACGAUCCAUCUUUUCACGGCCGAAACCAAUGUGUCUAUGGUGCUGCGUUCUGCUGUCUGUCCUACUUUUGAAAUCAGACCUGGGUGAAAGAUCACUUCUGACUUAACUGUGAUCGUGCUCACAAGUACCCUUCCUGUUCGUUUUGUUAGCGCUGAAAUCAAGACUAUUUAUUUGGAAUAGAUACAGCAGUGUUUUUCACUUCCUUUGCAACCGUUGAGAACAGCCUUCCCUACCUUUUGCAAGGAAUUAAUAUUCCAUAUUGG